UGUGUCACAUUGCCAGGUCACAAAAAUGACGUCCUACACAGACAAGGGAGAAAAGCCCCAACGAGGCCGCUUCAUCCAUUUCCACUCCAUCACCUUCUGGGUCGGCAAUGCCAAGCAGGUGAGAGGCU